rnacentral:rRNA from 1 species
UACGUAGGGUCCAAGCGUUGUCCGGAAUUAUUGGGCGUAAAGAGCUCGUAGGCGGUCUGUUGCGUCGGUUGUGAAAACCUGGGGCUCAACUCCAGGCCUGCAAUCGAUACGGGCAGACUAGAGUUCGGUAGGGGAGACUGGAAUUCCUGGUGUAGCGGUGAAAUGCGCAGAUAUCAGGAGGAACACCGGUGGCGAAGGCGGGUCUCUGGGCCGAAACUGACGCUGAGAAGCGAAAGCGUGGGGAGCGAACAGG